ensembl:lncRNA
GAUAAGGGGUUGGUGCAGGUUUUCAAGAAUGCAGUGAAUUACAAAAAUUGCCCCCUAGCACACUCAAAAAACAGGAUGUUGAACUCGGUAGUUUCCCAGUAGGCCUCCAAGGCAAGUGAAAUGCCGUGGAAUCAGCAUGACAAACCGAUCCUUCUUAAGAUACCUCCAUGAAGAUCUGUGGGAAAAGAGGGGACAAGAUGAAGGUGGUCCCUGUCCUGGUCCUCCUCUCUCUGAUAGGGAUUUUCAAGGACGUUCAAACACAAACAACAGUAACUUCCUCAGGUCCAACUCAAACAUCUGUUUCUGUAUCCGCCACAACACCAGCUUUAUCAUCAUCAGCCCCCUCAGGCUCCACCACAUCCCCAGAUCAACCAUCAUCAUCCAACCCCACCACAAUUACAUCUCAAACACCAACCUCAACACUAGAAUUGACUGCAUUAUCUUCAGCCUCAACCUCAAUACUACAAACCACCCUAACACCAGCUUUAACAGCAGCCUCUACCUUAGGCUCCACCUCACCACCAGCACAACCAUCAACAUCAGAACUCAUCACAGCAUCACCUCAAACAUUCACUUCAACAUCACAGUCUACGGCACAAUCUUUAUCCUCAGACUCAGUGACAAUCACAACACAGGCUUCAUCGUCUGACUCUACCUUCCCUUCAUCUACACGAGCAGAUCCAACUCCAACAUCUGUUUCUAUAUCCGCCACAACACCAGCUCUAUCAUCAUCAGCCCCCUCAAGCUCCACCACAUCCCCAGAUCAACCAUCAUCAUCCAACCCCACCACAAUGACACCUCAAACAUCAACCUCAACACUAGAAUUGACUGCAUUAUCUUCAGCCUCAACAUCAAUACUACAAACCACCACAACACCAUCUCUAACAGCAGCCUCUACUUUAGGCUCCACCACACCACCAGAUCAACCAUCAACAUCAGAACCCAUCACAGCAUCACCUCAAACAUUCACUUCAACAUCACAGUCUACGGCACAAUCUUUAUCCUCAGACUCAGUGACCAUCACAACACAGGCUUCAUCGUCUCUCUCUACCUUCCCUUCAUCUACACCAGCAGGUCCAACUCCAACAUCUGUUUCUGAAUCCGCCACAACCCCAGUUCCAUCUACACCAAAUUUAACAGCAACAUCAGCAAAUCUAGAAACAAACGCCACAGCACUCACAUCCACAAAUGGAGUGUUCAAGCAAUCAUCAACUCAAGCUGCCACAACAAUGAUGGAAAAUGCAACUUCAGCCCCAGCAUCACAGCCCAACACAACAGCUGCAACAAUGACACCAACAGCAGCUCCCCAAACAACUACGGCUCCACAGCCUGCUCCAGUCACAGCAGCAUCUAUCCCCGAGCCAGAAGUCAAACUGGAAUUCAAACUGGAGCAGUCGUUCACACCACAACUGCAGAACACCUCUUCACCAGCAUUUCAAAGCUUGGCUGAUAAAGUGUCUACAGCGCUGGAUAAAGUGUACACUGAAAAGUUUGGAUCUAGUUUCAACCGUACAGAAAUCAAAGGCUUCAGGUAG